rnacentral:rRNA from 1 species
UACGAAGGGGCUAGCGUUGCUCGGAAUUACUGGGCGUAAAGCGCACGUAGGCGGCUCUUUAAGUCGGGGGUGAAAUCCUGGAAGCUCAACUCCAGAACUGCCUUCGAUACUGAAGAGCUCGAGUCCGGGAGAGGUGAGUGGAACUGCGAGUGUAGAGGUGAAAUUCGUAGAUAUUCGCAAGAACACCAGUGGCGAAGGCGCUCACUGGCCCGGUACUGACGCUGAGGUGCGAAAGCGUGGGAGCAAACAGG